UUGGGAUAAAAGGAAGUGGAUAUUGAACUAAAUUGUGUUUGGGAAUGGUUUAGGAUAGCAAAUGGGAAGCGUGAUGGAGAUGGAGGUUAAUUUUUGUCUCUCUAUUUUUGUUUGAGAAUAUGCAGAUGAGGUGUUUGUGAUAAGGGUUUGAUGCUUCAAGAAUUGGGAUGAAAUGGUAGUGAACAAAAGGGGUGUCUGUUCUUGUGGUUGGGCAUGAUGGAGGAAUUGGUUUCGGAGGAGGUGAUACUGUUGUGUUUGUUUCCGUUUUAUGUAUUGAGAUGGGCUGUUGUGAUGACGGUAGGAAAACACAGUAGAGGUUAAGAAAUGGGCGAGUUUUUCUCUAUUUUCAAGUGUUGAAGAACAUGGAGGGGAGCAUCUGUGCGUGAUUGGUUCUUCUCUGUUUUUUUCUUUUGUUUUGGAUUUAUGUGAUGGAGGCAGUUAGUCAAGGAUGAAUGAUGAUGAUGGGAUGAGAAAAUGAAUAAAAGGUGAAGUGUCAAGAGGGAGGAAUUGGUAGUGAAAAAGGAAAUGUGGUUGGGGUGGUUGUGGUUUAGGGGAGAGAGGAGUGGAGUGUGUGUGUGAGGAUGGUCUGCCUCUCACUGAAGGCCUCCAUCUGUUCCCUCUUUGCCAGUAUGUCCUCUGUUAAUCCACACCGUGUCUGCCAACCCAAUCGUGCCUGCAAAAAUCAUUUCUUGCUCCCUCGCUGUCCAACCCCGUACACACUGCUCCUAUCCCAGCCAAAACCUUUCUUUUUCUUUUACUUUUUCUUUUUUUUUUUUACUAAAAGACAAAAACUACACUGUAUUUCCUUUUUUUUUAUCAUUCUUUUUUUCGUUUUUUUUCGUUCACGUUUUUUCUUCUUUUUUUCGUUUUCCUUUUCUUUUCUUUUUUUUUCAUUUCUUUUCUUAUUUAUUUUUUUAUAUAUAUAUUUUUUUCAA
rnacentral:lncRNA from 1 species